rnacentral:misc_RNA from 1 species
GAUGAAGAACGCAGCGAAAUGCGAUAAGUAGUGUGAAUUGCAGAAUUCAGUGAAUCAUCGAAUCUUUGAACGCACAUUGCGCCCCUCGGUAUUCCGUGGAGCAUGCCUGUUCGAGCGUCAUCUACACCCUCAAGCUCUGCUUGGUGUUGGGCGUCUGUCCCGCCUCCGCGCGUGGACUCGCCCCAAAUUCAUUGGCAGCGGUCCUUGCCUCCUCUCGCGCAGCACAUUGCGCUUCUCGAGGGGCUACGGCUCGCGUCCAACAAGCACAUUUACCGUCUUUGACCUCGGAUCAGGUAGGGAUACCCGCUGAACUUAAGCAUAUCAAUAAGCGGAGGA